CACUUCUCUCGUGUUCGACGGCGCCUCUUCUUCUCGGGCGGAAAUACAAAGGAAGCUAGAGCACGAUUCCGGCGGUCGGCGGGCGGCUAACUCUGGGGGGUUCGUCACCGUCGUGAUCCUUGCGUCGGGGAGGACUUGUGAGCACGAAGAGGAGCCGGAAACCUCGAGUGGUCAGAACCCUAGAAGCUGUCCUUCUCAACUGUAAGUCCAAGAAAUCACAUGAUAAAGGAAAAGAAAAGAUCUAGCAAGGAAGGCGACAAGGUGGUGCGGAUGGUGUGUGAUGCCAGGACUAUGGAAGUCUUGGGGCUAGAAAAGAGUUAUUUUAGUUUUCUUUCUUUAUUACUAAGUUUUCCAUGUUUUAGUGGACUGUAAACAUUUGAGAUUGUAUUUUGAGUUCCAUGUCAUGUGAGAUUGUUUUAGAUAGUAUGCUAAGAUGAAUUAAGUAUAGUAUGUAUUUUUGGUGUUUGACACAUAUUUAA